rnacentral:rRNA from 1 species
GAUGAACGCUAGCGGCAGGCCUAAUACAUGCAAGUCGAACGGGAUUGAGGAGCUUGCUCCUCAUGAGAGUGGCGCACGGGUGCGUAACACGUAUGUAACCUACCUUAAUCAGGGGAAUAGCCUCUCGAAAGAGAGAUUAACACCGCAUAAGAUCACACUAUGGCAUCAUAGAAUGAUCAAAUAUUUAUAGGAUUAAGAUGGGCAUGCGGAACAUUAGCUAGUUGGUAAGGUAACGGCUUACCAAGGCUACGAUGUUUAGGGGAUCUGAGAGGAUGGCCCCCCACACUGGUACGGAGACACGGACCAGACUCCUACGGGAGGCAGAAGUAAGGAAUAUUGGUCAAUGGGCGGAAGCCUGAACCAGCCAUGCCGCGUGCAGGAAGACGGCCCUACGGGUUGUAAACUGCUUUUGUACCGGAAUAAGCCUUUCUACGUGUAGGAAGCUGAAUGUACGGUAAGAAUAAGGAUCGGCUAACUCCGUGCCAGCAGCCGCCGUAA